rnacentral:rRNA from 1 species
UACGUAGGGUGCGAGCGUUGUCCGGAAUUAUUGGGCGUAAAGGGCUCGUAGGCGGUUUGUCGCGUCGGGAGUGAAAACCCAGGGCUUAACUCUGGGCUGGCUUUCGAUACGGGCAGACUAGAGGCAUGCAGGGGAGAACGGAAUUCCUGGUGUAGCGGUGAAGUGCGCAGAUAUCAGGAGGAACACCGGUGGCGAAGGCGGUUCUCUGGGCCGAUACUGACGCUGAGGAGCGAAAGCGUGGGGAGCGAACAGG